UUCUUCCUGUGAUUCUGAUUCUGGUUCUUGGGUUUUUCUUUCUUGUUGAAAUUGAAUAUGGGUUCGACCAGUAUGACCCCAACAACUAUCCUAGAGUCAGAUGAGGAGGCAUCUCUGUUUUCCAUGCAGCUCGUCAGUGCCUCAGUUCUCCCCAUGGUCCUCAAAUCAGCUUUGGAGCUCGACCUUCUUGAGAUAAUCGCCAAGGCUGGCCCUGGGGCGUUUGUCUCCACUUCUGAGAUUGCUGCUCAGAUCCCCACCCACAACCCAGAAGCCCCUGUCAUGCUGGACCGUAUCCUCCGCCUUCUUGCCACCUAUGCUGUGGUCAAGUGCUCUCUUCGCAACCUCCCUGAUGGAGGGGUUGAGAGGCUCUAUGGGCUCGCCCCUGUCUGCAAGUACUUGACUAGGAACGAAGAUGGGGUGUCUGUAGCCCCUCUUCUCCUCAUGAAUCAGGACAAGGUCCUCAUGGAGAGCUGGUAUCAAUCCAUUUUUUCCUCAUCUUUCUGCUUCUCUAGAUCCCCAUUUUCUCUCCUCAUUUUCUUAUCCUAAAAGGAAAUAUUUUAAAGAUUAAUUGAUUCAAAGGAAGGAAAUGAUACCAAAAUUUGUAAAUCUAACACAUCUUUUUUACAAUUUUUGACAUAAAUUUUCAACAUUAUUUAUAUUAAAUUUAGUUUUAAAAGGAAAGCUUAUUUAAAAUAUAAAAAAAAUAAAAAUGAUAGGUAUUUUUGUGCCAAAUGGGUAUUUUUUAGAUUGAAAAAAUAUGAAAAUUUAGAUUUAUAAAUUAGGGAAUUUUUCAUCAUUUUAAUCAAAUAACCCAUAUUUUUACCUAAUGAUAUAAUCUAGCACUUUAAUCUUAGAAGAUUUUGUGAAAUUUUUUUAGUUUUAUUCCUUUCUUUUAUGAAGCAUUGAAUAGUGAAGCAAUGGUUUGAGGUUUCGUGUGGAGAAGAAAUUGAAAGAGAUUUUCAAAGAAAAAAGUAUAAUAAAUUUGUUGUGGUGUGUUCUUAAAUAAUUCCAACAGAUGUGCACCACAAAUUCCUUGAAGCUUGAGAAUUGACACCCACUACACCCACCAAGAACCCACUCUUGUUUGUUUUCACAUUUUCUGUUCUCUUGUUUUGGUGUUGGAUGUGGAUGUGGAUGUGGAUGUGGACCUGUACAUCUCUCUAACCCAUUGUUUUUUUAUUUUAUUCUUCACCCAUCAGUUGGUAGAUCAUGUGCUUCUGAACUAACCAAACCCAGUUCCAUAUUUUUCUUCAUUUUAUUCUUCUUUUUGCACAUGAUAUGACCAAGAGAAUGGAGUUGAACAGAUUGGAGUUGAACCCAUUAUGUGUGGGUCCACUGUAGAAUAAGUAAACAGAUUGGAAUAGUUCUUCAUACCAAUCAUUGAAGCCUACUUUACUUUUGUUAGCUUUUGAAGCUUUGGUUCUGGAUUGGACUCAAACAACUUGUACAGGAAAAAUUAGGUCUUGUAGGUUCUGUGGUUGGUGAAGAUUGAUUGGUAUUCUUCUUUGUGCUAAUUGUAGGUACUAUUUGAAAGAUGCAGUUCUUGAUGGUGGAAUCCCCUUCAACAAAGCCUAUGGAAUGACUGCCUUUGAGUAUCAUGGCACAGAUCCUAGAUUCAACAAGGUGUUCAACAAUGGAAUGUCUGGUCAUUCCACCAUUACCAUGAAGAAAAUUCUUGAAGCCUACAAGGGUUUUGAGGGCCUCACCUCAAUUGUUGAUGUUGGUGGUGGGACUGGAGCCACCCUUAACAUGAUCAUAUCCAAAUACCCCACUAUUAAGGGCAUUAACUUUGACUUGCCUCAUGUUAUUGAUGAUGCCCCAUCUUAUCCUGGUACAUUUCCACAUCAUUCUACAAUUAAUUCAUCUGCAUACCAUCCUUCAAAGAUAGUCAUGGAGCUAUCAUUCUGAUUGGCCAAAAGAGGGUUGAGUUUUAGUGGCAGAGUUGAAACCCCACUAACCAUUUCCAAUGAUUUGCUGAGCUAGUGGAUCUUAUCCCUAUGAUCAUCUUGUUCCUCUUAUCAGUUUCUGCGGUUGAAUUUGGCUGCAGGUGUGGAGAAUGUUGGGGGAGACAUGUUUGUGAGUGUCCCAAAGGGAGAUGCCAUCUUCAUGAAGGUGAAUUUGUGUUCUUUAUAUAUCCUUUACUCUGUUACCUUCCGUAUAGUCAAAUUGGCAUACUAGCAUCUCAGUGGGAGCCAGUUAUGAGAAAAGGGAUGAUGAUCAACUUGUGGGUGUGCUUCCAAAGAGAUUGAAGACAUAGCUUUUUGAGAUUGAAUAUGGUCCAUAUGAAAUCACUACUAAAUGAUAAUUAGCCUCUAAGAUCAUACUGAUUCUACCUUCGAUUAUGCUAAUGACCCGUCAAAAUGAACAUAAGAUGAGGUCAUAUGAGAUAGCAAGAUGUGGUAUAUUUUGUACCUUCAAUUAUGCUAAUGGAUGUAAAUUGUCUUCCUGCAGUGGAUAUGCCAUGAUUGGAGUGAUGCUCAUUGCUUGAAGUUCUUGAAGAACUGUUAUCAGGCACUUCCAGACAAUGGGAAGGUAAUUGUUGCUGAAUGCAUCCUUCCUGUGGCCCCAGACACCAGCCUAGCCACCAAGGGUGUCGUCCAUAUCGACGUUAUCAUGUUGGCUCAUAACCCUGGUGGAAAAGAGAGGACCGAGAAAGAAUUCGAAGCCUUGGCCAAGGGAGCUGGAUUCCAAGGCUUCAAGGUAGUGUGUUGUGCCUUCAACACUUGGAUCAUGGAAUUUUGUAAAACUGCUUGAGCCUCUAGCUUUGUAUCCAUUGCAAGUUGUCUGUGAGUUUCCUGAUUCUAUAUUGUGUCUUCUUUCACAAGUGGCUUUAUACGGUGUAUGAAGUUGUUAUACAAUGAAAUAAGAAGCUAAUUUUGUCAAAUGAGAUUAAUAUAUAAAAUAAUGAAAUUAAAAUAUAAAAUAAUAAAAUUAAACUCGAGUAUAAAGUAAAUGUGAAUUAAACUCUUUUGUAUUAAAACUUUAUUUAUUAACAUAAAAAAAAUAAAAAAAUAAAAAAAUUUGGUUUUUUUGUCUUAUUCAAAUAUCCUAUUGACCCAACCACUCUUUUUGGGGCUUCUAGUGGAGUCUACUUGGCCCAUAAAAAUUGUACACGUCACCUAUUAAUCAUAUACACAUCAUUCAAUUUGCUUACGUCAAUGCAGAUUCUAAAUCCAUUGUCAAUUAAAAACACUAUAAAAUUGGUGAUAUCAACCCCACACCAUUUGAUGUCGUCAUCACCGUCCAAAAGUAAGACUUUUGGAGCUAUUAGCAGCUCAAAAGCAUAAAAAAUUGGUCAACAUAUUUAAUAAGGUAGUUCAUCACUUGCGUUAUCAAAGAUAUACCUAAAUUUCACUACUAUUUUCAUUUGUAAUUCAGUCGUUGUGGCCUUUUUUUCUAUAUAUUUUCUAUCAACAACCAAAUUUAUUCAUAUCUUUUAAGAAUUUAAAAUUUGAUUUUAAUAUAAUACCUAAUUAAUAACAUAAUAUUUUCCGAACAACUAUUACACGAGACUUUCAAGCCAAUUAUACUUUUUCAGUAACAUAUUGAAAAGGCAUCACUUACAUACUAAGUUUUGACUACAGAUCCAUAUAUCUAUAUCUCGUGAUACUUAAAAGUGUUUUUAAUAAAAAUAUUUUUUAUUGAAAGUAUUUGUAGGAGAAUCAUCUAUAAGUGUUUCUCUAAAAAAUGUUAUAAGUGAUUUUUCAUAAUUUUAAAGUAUUUCCUAAACUUUAUCAAAUUCUUCAUUUAUUAUUUUUAAAAACAUUUUUUAAACCAAUAACGUUUCUUAGAACUACUGUUAAACAUACUCUUAAUCUUAUUUAUUUAUAUAUCAUAUAAUGAUACAGGUUUUAUCACAUAGAUUUAACAACUCAAAUAUGCAAUUCAGUAGAUAUAAUUUCCGUAUCUUUCAUUUUCUAUUAUAUAAAUAUGAAAGGACAAUCAAACAAUAAAAAUAGAAUAAAAAAGGUAAUGGUAUUUUUCUUAUUUUGAUGUGACAAAAAGUUUGGUAGCAAUAUUCUAGACAUCGAUAAAAUCCAAAUAUAGGAACAUUAUAAAAAUAUGUAGCUCGUUGGUAACUUUAAGUGAUUCUCUAUGUCAAAUUCAUUGAGUUAAGAAUUAAGGUGUUACCUUUUGAUAAACUACAUGGCCAUGAGAUUUUGACCCCAAAAUUUGCAAUAUCACUAAAGUUACACUAAAAGAUAAAAUGGAGAUUAUUUCCCCACAUUAUAGAUUCAUUCAAUGUACUUCAUUAUCUAUCAUAUAGAAUUUAAUUUCGUUUUGUUGUCUAUGAUUUGACAUCAAGUAUUUAUAUCAUAUUAUAUAACGUAAAUUUUUUAUUUUGCUUAGAUAUAAUUAACUAUAGUUCAUUACUAUAAAUAUAAGAAAAUAAAAGAACAUGGUCGAGUUUCGUUCAUUGUACUUGAUAUAUUAUGAGAUUUAUGAUAUUAUAAUUCAUUAUUUCAUGUAAUCAUCAAAACCAUCGUUCGGUGUGGAACAUGGACAUUAUAGUAAAUAAAAUUCUUAAUAGUACAUACAAAACAAGAAGACGAUAAAAAUGUAUUGUUUUUUCAUAUUUAUUUUACAACAUUUAUGACUUGGAAGAGUUUUUUAAACAUUAAAAUUAAGAUUUUACACGAGUUUCAACAUUUGUUUGUAUGAUUUUCUUGACUCUAAUUACUUUUGUUUUUGUUCUUCUAUUGUUAAAAACAAGAAGAGUUCGAGACUGAAGUCUUAGUUUGUAUAUACAAAACAAGAAAAUAAUGAUUUUUAUAUUCGACUUACAAGACUCAUUCAUAGUUGCUGAGGUCAUAUGAAUAAUUGUUGAUGAUAUCACAAGGGACCCUUGUGGCUGUUUAUGUCAAUAUUCUCUGCAUGUUCCCUUCUCCAAUUGAUGAUUGAGAUAUCACAUGCCUAGUUGCAGGAGUGGAAAUCUUCAGCAUGGUGGCUGCCUCAUGCUAUGACCUUUCAAAGAUUACUCCCAUUAAAACCUAACAUCAAAAUGAUUGAAAUUGGCUUAUUAAAAAACAGUGAUCAUUGGUCAUGUAUGUAACCAACCCUCUUGCAUGAGUUUUGGGCUCAAUUCCCAUGUUUUUCUCAACACGUGUAGUGGGGGAAAACAUACUCCAUCAUGACAUUGACAUUGCAAGAGAUCAUCACUUACCGAAGUUUUCUGAUUAAUGAGUGAUGUCGUAUGCAAUGUUUUAAGAAUCACACCGAUAAUUGAAUUGAAAAAGUUAUUGAUUUACGGUUCACUGAUUAGACCAGUGAUUAGAACGAUUGAACUGAUGAUGUCAUAAAUAAUAAUUUAUAUAUUAUAUAAAAUUUUAAAUAAUUAUAAGAAAUUAAAAUUAUAUAUAAUUAAAAUUUUUGAUAAUAUUUUAUUUUUAUAUUUAACAUAUCAAAUUAAAUGAAGAGAAAAAUAAACAUAUUAAUAUAUUAAAUUUUAUUAAAUAGAACAUUUAUAAUAUUUAAAUAUAAAGAUAUAUUUAAAAUGAAAAAAAAUAUAAUAUUUAAUUUUAUUUGCAUGUCUUUUGUAUUUUUUUAUUUUGAAAUUAUUAUAUUAAUUAAUUUAUAUUAUUUUUAUAAUUACAUUAUAUAAUUAUUAUAAAAAUAAAUGUGAAAGUAUUUAUACUUUUAUACAAUAAAAAUUUGAAAAAAAAAAUUAAUUUUGUUAUAUAUUUUUAUUUACAAAUAUAAUAUAAUGAAGAAACUUCAUAACUUAAUGGUUAAACUUUAAUUUUUACACCUGAAGGUCUCAACUCAAGCUCUCUAGUUUGCAAAAAAAUUUUCUUUCUCACAAACUAAUCCCACAUUGAAAAUGGAUUAAAAAAAGAAAAGAAAGAAUUGUGGGGUAUAAAAGGCAUGCAAUAAUCAUUAACUUGUAAGACUAAAAGCUUAUUGGGCUUGAUGACAAAUGAGCUGGAUAUGCUCCUCAUGGAGUGAUCUGGCUUCCUUAGAAAGUGUUGUCGUUUUGUUGUAAAAUGCAUCAAAAUAUUUUCUUGGCUUUAAAAAAAAUGGCUUAAAAAAAAGGUUUUUUUGGCUUAAAAAAAAAAAAGGUUGAACCAUCCAGUUUGAAGGGAAUUGACCGAUUUGUUUGGUUUGUCAGUUCGACUAUUAGUUCAACUGGUCCGAUUCCGGUUCAACCCUUGAUCGACUUAAUUAGUUGGAUCGAAACAAAACCGUAAUUGGUUGGCGGUUAGACUAAUCAAACCGAUAAGUCUUAUCCAGUUUUUAAAACCAUGGUUGGAUGAGCAUUUAUGAUAACUUCAUCUCAAGUCUUUCUUCUGAUAAUUAAUCCUUGCCAAUAUGAAUUGAAACUCAUCCAAAAGUUAUAAAUGAAGAUUUGGAAUGGUUUGCCACAAUUCUUCCCUGUUGCCAUCGUUUUUGGACACAUUCCAUGAGCAAACCAUGUCCACAACUUGUCUUUUCAUUUUCCUUCAUCAUGAUGAUCACAUGUAUAAGAUUAGCCUCGUCACAUGAAAAAACAUUACCCCUUUGAUGUCAUUCUUAGAGCAUGUUUGACCAUAUUUUUAGUAAAAAUAUGUUUUAAAAGUGUUUUUAAGAGAAUCACUUACCAAUAGUUUUUUCAAAAGACUAUAAAUGAUUUUCUAACACUAUAAAUGAUUUUUCACAUUUUUAUGAGUAUUUCUUAAAUUUUGUGAAAUAUCUAUUUUUUUUUUCAAAAUUACACUAAAAAUAUUUCCUAAAAUCAUUGUCAAACAUUCUCUUACUAUAAAAAAUCUUCUGAAUCAAAAUUAGUAUAAAAUUAACAAAUUGGAACUAACUACAAUUACUUUUGAUUAUAAAUAUCUGAUUAUCUCAUGAGUAUAUAUACUAGCUACCUUGAUAAUUUUCAAUAAUUUUGGUAAGUCCUACUAUAUAUGUAUACUUUUGCUUUCAAGAUUUUUCUAGUACAAGCUUUCUAAGUAAAACCAUUCCAUUAUAGGGUGAUCAUUUUGUCUUUAAAAGGAUAUAAAACUAAGAAAAUUGUGAUGAGAGACUUUAACAAUAAACAAGGAUGUUUGAUUGUAUGGAAGUUUCGACAACUAUUUAGCUCAACAUAAUAGAUGACGAUCUUCUAGAUGUGAAAAUAUUCAUUCCCCUUUAUUUCAGUUAUCCAAAAGACCUCAUUUUUAUCAUUUUUUUUUAGGUAUGUUUGAUUCGUGGAGUAUUGUAAGAUAAAAAAAAAAGUGAAAAGAAUAAAAAAUUUUAAAGGUCAUAAAUUAUUCUUAUAUGCUAUUUUAAAUUCAUUUCACUUAUUUUAAUUCUUUCAUAAAAAUUAAAUAAUUUAAAAAUAUAUAAAAUUUUAAUCAAUUUUAAAUAUAUUUAAUUUUUAUUUUAUAUUUUUUCAUAUUACAACCAAACACAAGAAAGUUGUUCUCCUUAAUAAUUUGUUUAUUUUUCUCAUACUAUCCCGAACAUAAGUAAGCCAAUCUAAAAGAAUGGUUAUGACUUGAUUACAUGUGUGCUGAAAAUACAAUAUUGCUUCGUGUCAAAGCUAUAACUUGAUUAUAUGAGGGUCAAAUUUUAAAUAUUUUUUAUUUUAUGAAUAUUUAAGUUUAUUAAAAAUUACUUUUAGGUAAUUUAAAAAUAUAUAUAAAUUACCUGAAAUCCAAUUUGUCUUCACAAAUAAUGAAGUUCAAUCCACAUUCAAAAAAGGUAAAUCUUUUGCUUCCUUUUUAUAUAUAUAUAUAACUGAAAAAUUAGUUCACGUGUCAAACAUAUAUAUAAAGUCAUCAUCCAUUAUCAACCACACAAAUGCCACCGACCGCCCGCCCUUGUUGACGCCUCUCUAUAGCACGCCGUGGACACCAUGACAAGGUUUCUAACGGACCGCCCACCCUUGUUGACGCCUCGCUAUAGCAUGUCAUGGACACCAUAACAAGGUUUCUACCGACGGCAUAUCAUUCCACAUCGUCAUCUCCACAUUCCCAAGUUAAGCUUUAUAUAUAUAUAUAUAUAACAAAAAAAAAGAUAAAAAAAGAACACUUAUUGGUUGAGGUGAAGACUUCUCACGAAGAAUUCGAGCCAAGAGAUGACUCAAAAAUUGAAAGAAUUUUUUCAAAGAAUUCAAAUUGGUUUUCUCAAAUUGAUUGAAAAAUACUCAAAGAUCAAAAGAACAUUCUAAAAAAAAGUUCAAGUCAAGUUACUCAACUAUUGUCCCUUUCAUAUAUAUAUAUAUAUAUAUAUAUAUAUAUAUAUAUAUAUAUAUAUAUAUAUAUAUAUAUAAAUAAAGAAUAUAAGGAUGAUAAAUUGGAAGAUAAUUAAAAGUGUAAAGCAAGAAAUGAAAAUGAAAGAGUUUGGAAAAAAGUAGGAAAGAAAUAAUUUUUUGAAAAAAUAGAAAACUUUCUAUUAAAGUAUUUCUUUGAAAAUAAAAAUAAAAAUUACUUCAGGACUCGGGGUGAACAUAUAACAAUGCAUGUAUAUGAUGCGUCUUACAGGGGGCAUUUGUAAACAUAAAAAAAUUUUAGUGGAUUAAAUUACCACUAAUUUUAUUUUCAAAAUGAAUAAAUAAUAAUAAUAAUAAUAAUAAUAAUAAUAAUAAUAAAUAUCUUUAAUCUCCAACUAUAAAAAAGAUAAUAAUAAUAAUAAGAAAAUUAUUAUUAUUUUAUUGGUAAAAGAACUGCUACACGUAAUAUUUGAAUCGUUCUUUAAGUUGUGGUCAAAGCUAAAGAAUCGGAAGAAGGAAAAUAUUCUUUUGUAAAGAAUAUUAUAUUUGAGAUUGUAUUCAUAAUAUUUUUAAUUUUAAUAAAUUUUCUAUUCAUAUUAUUUUUUUAUUUGUUUUGCUAAUUUUAUAGGACUUUUAUGAAAUUUGUAUAUACAAUUACUUCAAAUUCAUUUAACUUAUUUUAACUCUUUCAUAAAAAUUAAAUAAUUUGAAAAUAUAUAAAAUUUUAAUCAAUUUUAAAUAUAUUUACUUUUCUUUAAUAUUUUUCAUAUUACCGACAGAAAAAAGUAGUUCUCCUUAAUAAUUUUUUUAUUUGUCUCAUACUCUCUCGAACCAGACAGAGGGUUAAUGACCUCUACCAAGAUGAGAUAAUGCAAACAUGAAUAUGUGGCUAAAAGACGAGCUAUGGAGUCAACCCAAGAUGCCCCACAUGCCUUUUCAUUUAUGUAUUAGUACAAGUGAUUAUAUUCAUCUUCCAAGAAGCUACUAAGCCUAUGUAGGAGAGUGGUUACUAUUUGAUUACAUGUGUAUCGAAAAUAUGAUACUGUUUCGUGUUAGGGUUACGACUUAAUUACACGAGGAUUAAAUUUUAAAUAUUAAUUUUUUUUAUAAAUAUUUAAGUUAAUUAAAAAUUCUAUCUCAAAUAUUAAGAUAAUUUUUUUAAUAAAAAAAAUAAAUUACCUGAAAUAAAAUUUGUCUUUGGUGAUGAUGAAGGUCAACACUCAUUAGAAAAAGGUGAAUCUUUUUCUUCUUGAAAAACAAAAAAAAAAGUUAGCAAAAAAAAAAGAUUUGAAUAAAGAGAACACUAGUCAAAAUAUAUAUAUAUAUAUAUAUAUAUAUAUAUAUAUAUAUAUAUAUAUAUAAAACGCCAGAAUGGAUAAUCCAAAGCAGCUAUCAAGCCCAGCCAAAGCAGGCUUUCCCACUGAAAGAAGGCAAAACGCAUAUGCGCCUGAAAAAGAGUGUUAACGUGUCAAAGGUCGUAAUGGAUCAUCCAAAUCAGCUAUCAAGCCCAGCCAAAGCAGGCUACCCCACUGAAAGAAGACAACGCAUAUGCGCAAUCUCAGUCGGGUUCAAUGAAUUAAUGAAAAAUUCUGUGAGCCCUCCAUUAUAAAGCCAAUGCCAAAGGCACUCUUCAUUCCAUUGAACAGAGCUUGACUCUUCUAUUCAACAGCGGUUCGAACAGUAUGAACCAAGGUUUUUCUUCUUCUGCCGAGUUCAAUUCCCCCGUCCCAGCAACUAUCCCAAAGUCAGAGGAAGAUACGUUUGUGUUUGCCACUCUUCUCACCAGUGCCUCAGUUCUCCCCAUGGCCCUCAAAUCAGCUUUGGAGCUCGACCUUCUUGAGAUAAUCGCCAAGGCUGGCCCUGGGGCGUUUGUCUCCACUUCUGAGAUUGCUGCUAAGGUCACCAAACGCAACCCAAAAGCCCCUGUCAUGCUAGACCGUAUCCUCCGCCUUCUUGCCACCUAUGAUGUGGUCAAGUGCUCUCUCCGCGACAGCCCUGAUGGAGGGGUUGAGAGGCUCUAUGGGCUCGGCCCUGUCUGCAAGUACUUCACUACGAACGAAGAUGGGGUGUCUGUAGCCCCUCUUCUCCUCAUGAAUCAGGACAAGGUCCCCAUGCAGAGCUGGUAUCAGUCCAUCUUUUCGUCAUCGUUCUCUUUCUCUAGCUCCCCAUUUUCUCUCCUCCAUAUUUUCUUAUCCUAAAAGGAAACAUUUCAAGGAUUAAACCAAAAUUCGGAAAUCCAACACAUCUUUUAAUUUUUUUUUGACAUAAAUACUUUUCUAACAUUAUUGACAUUCAAGUUGCUUUAAAAAGAAAAGCUUAUUUUAAAAAAAAAUAAAAAAUAAAAUUGAAGGCAUUUUUGUGUUGGGUAUUUUUUAGAUUGAAAAAAUGUGAAAAAUUAGAUUUAUAAAUUAGGAUUAGUUCAUCCUUUUAAUCAAAUAACCCAUAUUUUUACCUAAUGAUCUAAUCUAGCAAUUUAAUCUUAGAAGAUUUUGUAACAAUUUUUUUUUUAUUCCUUUCUUUUAUGAAGCAUUGAAUAGUGAGGCAAUGGUUUGAGGUUUCGUGUGGAGAAGAAAUUGAAAGAGAUUUUCAAAGCAAAAGGUAAAAUAAAUUUGUUGUGAUGUGUUUUGAAAUGAUUCCAAAAAGAUGGGCACCCACUACACCCACCAAGAACCCACUCUAGUAUGUUUUUACAUUUUCUUCUCUUGUAUUGGGUGUGGAUGUGGGCAUCUCUCUAACCCUCUGUUUUGUUGAUUUUAUUCUUCACUAGAUCGUGUGCUUGUGAAUUAACCAAACUCAGUUCCAUAUUUUUCUUCAUUUUGUUCUUCUUUGUUCACAUGAUUUGACCAAUAGAAUGGAGUUGAACCCCAUCAUGUUUGGGUCCACCGUAGAAUAAGAAAACAGAGAUUGGGACAGUUCUUCAUACCAAUCAUGAAGCCUACUUUACUUUUGUUAGCUUUUGAAGUUUUGGUUCUUGAUUGGACUCAACAACUUGUACAGGAAAAAUUAGGUCUUGUAGGUUCUAUGGUAGGUGAAGAUUGAUUGGUAUUCUUCUUUGUGCUAAUUGUAGGUACCAUUUGAAAGAUGCAGUUCUUGAUGGUGGAAUCCCCUUCAACAAGGCCUAUGGAAUGACUGACUUUGAGUAUCAUGGCACAGAACCUAGAUUCAACAAGGUAUUCAACAAUGGAGUGUCUGGUCAUCCCACCAUUACCAUGAAGAAAAUUCUUGAAGCCUACAAGGGUUUUGAGGGCCUCACCUCAAUUGUUGAUGUUGGUGGUGGGACUGGAGCCACCCUUAACAUGAUCAUAUCCAAAUACCCCACUAUUAAGGGCAUUAACUUUGACUUGCCUCAUGUUAUUGAUGAUGCCCCAUCUUAUCCUGGUACAUAUCCACAUCAUUCUACAAUUAAUUCAUCUGCAUACCAUCCUUCAAAGAUAGUCAUGGAGCUAUCAUUCUGAUUGGCCAAAAGAGGGUUGAGUUUUAGUGGCAGAGUUGAAACCCCACUAACCAUUUCCAAUGAUUUGCUGAGCUAUUGGAUCUUAUCCCUAUGAUCAUCUUGUUCCUCUUAUCAGUUUCUGUGGUUGAAUCUGGCUGCAGGUGUGGAGCAUGUUGGGGGAGACAUGUUUGUGAGUGUCCCAAAGGGAGAUGCCAUCUUCAUGAAGGUGAAUUUGUGUUCUUUAUAUAGCCUUUACUCUGUCAAAUUGGCAUACUAGCAUCUCAGUGGGAGCCAGUUAUAAGAAGACGGAUGAUGAUCAACCCGUGGGUGUGCUUCCAAAGAGAUUGAAGACAUAGCUUUUUGAGAUUGAAUAUGGUCCAUAUGAAAUUACUACUAAAUGAUAAUAAGCCUCUAAAAUCAUACUGAUUCUACCUUCAAUUAUGCUAAUGACCCGUCAAACUGAACAUAAGAUGAAGUCACAUGAGAUAGCAAGAUGUGGUAUAUUUUGUACCUUCAAUUAUGCUAAUGGAUGUAAAUUGUCUUCCUGCAGUGGAUGUGCUAUGAGUGGGAUGAUGCUCAUUGCUUGAAGUUCUUGGAGAAUUGUUAUCAGGCACUUCCAGACAAUGGAAAGGUAAUUGUUGCUGAGUGCAUCCUUCCUGUGGUCCCAGACACCAGCCUAGCCACCAAGACUGCCGUCCAUAUUGACGUUAUUAUGUUGGCUUAUAACACUGGUGGAAAAGCGAGGACAGAGAAAGAGUUCGAAGCCUUAGCCAAGGGAGCUGGAUUCCAAGGUUUCAAGGUAGUGUGUUGUGCCUUCAACAGUUGGAUCAUGGAAUUUUGUAAAACUGCUUGAGCCUCUAGCUUGGUGUCCAUUGCAAGUAGUUUGUGAGUAUCCUGAUUCUAUAUCUUGUCUUCUUUCAUAAGUGGCUUCAUACUGUGUAUGAAGUUGUUAUACAAUGAAAUCAGAAGCUAUUUUUGUCAUUUCUUAUAUCAAAUAAGAUUCUUCAUGUUGAUUAGUCAAUCUAUAAUGAUCUCUUCAAACCUUCAAAAGUGAAAGCGAUCUUACCCUCUUUGUUCCAAAACAUGGUAUCAAAGCUAGAGGCCCUUAAUGGGCUAAUACAAUUAUGGGCUGUGCACAUCUAUUUGUUUGUCCAUCUUUGGGCCUCAUGGGCCCCCAAGGUUUUAAAAUGAAUGUAGCAUCUUUUUCUAUGUUCGUUCGUUUUUAGGCCUAAUAAGCCCUCAAGGUUUUAAAACGAGUCCAUCUUUGGUAGUCGAUGAAGGCUAUCACUAUGCCAUUUGAUAAUUUUCAAGUUUUUUUGUCUUUGCAUCUAAGUUACUAUAAUUUUGUCAAGAAUUGUCUUGUUAAUGGAGUGGGUAGAAAGAGAUAAGGCUCCUUCCAUAGCGGUGGCAAUGACAUGGCUAUCAUUAAUCAUUUUGUUUUUAAAUUUAACCUUUACCACCACCUUGACAACCCCCCAUUAGGUACAAGUUCUUAAUCAAUGGUUGCAAAUUUAUUAUUAAUUUACCUACCUAUUUGUCUUUCCACAUGGGAUCCACUUAGGUGUGUGGGGUCGACCGUAUUGACUUAUCUAUUAAUUUAUUUGUGAUCACAAUUUUUAUGGUUUGCACAACGUUUUAAAAAUUGGACCAGAUCGACCGGUCCGACCGAUCACCAGUCCGGUUUGAUUCACCUCUUUGAACCGGCCAACAUUUGAACCAUCAUCGAACCAUCAGAACCGGUGGAUAGACCGAUCCGACCAGUUUUUAACGAAUUGAACGGUUCAAAUGAACUUUUUCCUUUUUGUUUAUUAGCUUCCAAAACGAUGCCUUCCCUUUAUUUUUCCUUCUUCCAAAAUGUUCUCCUCCCACCCACAUUCAGUUAGGUUACAAAAAAAUUUUCAAACCUUGUCAUUUUUUUCCCAAUCACAAUAACAUAUCAUAACAUUUUCAAAAUAAAAAAUAAAAAUUAGGUAUUCCCCUUUCAAAAGCAAACAUUCAGGAUUUUGAAAUUGGAACUUUUAACUCAGAAAAUCAAAGAAAAUGAAUAAGAAAAAACUCAACCCGUGAUCUAUUCGAAAAUAAGAGGAGAAACCACCGAAGGAUGAGGGCAUAAUUUAGGAUUUACUUACCUGAUUUUCCUGAAAAUCGAGUAUUACCGGAUGGAGAAGCUUUGUUGUUGGCGAUGCUGACUUGUCAAGUGGACUAAAUCUUACAACGGUGACGUUGGCAAGGCAACCCCCUCACAGUCAGAUUGCUCCCCCUCCAAUGUUGGGUCUUGCAUAGUUGCAAAUUUGCAAUUGCAUGUGGUGUUGGUGGGUCUUCACAACAGCGAGGGUAGGAGACAACAACAAAGGUGGGAGAUUG
rnacentral:lncRNA from 1 species